CGAACGCCGCGCUUCCUUUCACGUCCUCGCGGGACCCACGCGGAGCAGGAGGCAGCAGCACCCGGGCCUCCCGGGCAGCCGAGCAGCGCCCGCGGGGUUGACCGUGAACGCCACCGGAGUCAGGGCGCGUCUCCCGCGGCGUCUGAGAGCCCCGCCGGGUCUCAAGGGACCACCUCGCCUCCCGUCUCCUCCUUCUUUCCCAGCCGGCACCUCUUGCCUCUGGCUGCUCCGGGGAUGGAGUCGCAGGGCCUGAGAGAUGCGGCCUAAAAUGCCGCAGGCGGCCGCCUGACUCCUCCCGGUGAGGGCCUAGGCCUUCCGUCCAGCUCGCGAACCACGCCCCGCCCCACGGAGUCCAGGACAGAACAUUCACCGCCAGGAGAAGAAACCCAGGUGAAGAACCUAAGGUCCAGAAAGGUACUAGCAGCAAUAGUGGGCUUUGAAAUGUACAAGUCUCUUGAAUAUCCAUUAGCUGGCAGAAGUGCUAAAUCCAUGCUGAUGAACCAGCGAAUGAGUUCCAGUGACUACUCGAAACAGACCUAUAAGAGACCCAGUUAGGUGAUUUCUGUUAAUACCAUCAACUGUGACCUAGAACGCUAAAAGAAGAUGAGCUGACCAGGAAUUUGGAUGAAGGGAUUUAAUGGAGCUGAGUGGUACAACAUUCCUUUUGAGAAGCAUUUGCCUGCACCUUGAAUCAAUCCUCCAAGAUUAAAUGCGUUUAAGUAACAAUCAGAUAUUUUCCCACCAGCUUGCAAUACAGCUUACUUCCCCUGCUCCAUCCCGGUAUUUCUAAGGUCAGUAAGACAACGUCAGAGGCCUAUAUCUGGUAAUUGUCAAUUAUGUUUUGUUUCCCUGCUGGGCCCUUUCAACGCUAGAGUUACUGCAGGAUUGGUCAUUCAUUCAUUGAUUCAACAUUUUUUGUCCUCUUCCUGUGUGUGAGGCACUGUGCUAGGUGCUAUAAACCAGGUGCUGUGGAUACAGAGUUUAAAAAGAUCUCUGCUCUCAUGGAACUUAAAUUCUAUUGGGGGAAGGCAAAUCAUAAGAUCAAAUAAAUACUUUUAAAUACUAUGAAAAAAAAUAAAACAAAGAGCUAGUGAUUGGAUAAGAGGCUGCUUUAGAUAGGGAAGUUCAGGAAUGGCAUUAUCUGAGGAGGCAACAUUUGAGCAGAGACCUGAAGAAGAAGGAGCCAGUCAUAUGAGCAUCUGGGGAAAUAUAAAAACUUAAUUUGGUGACAAGAGCAGUAGUAUGUACUUGGUUAAGAGGCAGCACUGAUGUAAGGAACUAGUUACUAGAUAAGGAUGGAUGGAGAGCUUGCAGUUAAUGUGGGUUUAAAGCAUAAACUACAUUCAAACAACUGUUUCCAUUCCCUUAGGGAAAAUAGGGAGUAGUGAAGCAAAAAACAACACCCCUUCUCCUAUUCUUGGUCACAGAAUUUCUAGGUAGACAUAUA